rnacentral:piRNA from 1 species
UACCUGGAAAAGUACUGUGCCUCCCUC